UAUCAGAUUCUGUACGAUUAUCGGGAUCCACGACGAAACCCCCCCUUCCCUGUCACCUCUCUCGAUUAUAACAGAUUCUCAUCAUCACAACAACUCUCUUACCAAGAGAUCCAACAAUGGACCCAGACCCGAAAACCCACCCGAUUCUCUCUUACGUCAUGGCCCGACUUCCCUCUCUCGGACACAAAUCCCCUGGCCCCUCCUUCGACAUCGAGCAACCACCACAGCCAUCACAACCACCACCACAAUCUCUAUUUCCUCAAUUAUCCGACCCGGCCCUCCUAUCUUCAAUGAGACGGGCUGUUGGCGAUGUUGCCCAAACCCGAUCGGUGCUCCAUACUCUAGGCCCCCGGCCCGACCAUGAAACCGUGGACACAGCGAAACUCAAACUCAGUGAAAUCGAGUCCAAUUUAUCGAAGCAAUUGGAGGAUCUUGUGCUUUCUCCGCGGCCAUGUGAGAUUGAUAGGUUAGAGUGGAGGGCGCAUUUGGCUGAGAAAGAGAAGAAGAUUCGAGAAGAGGCGGAGAAAGAGAUAGGGUUUUAUAAAAUGGUAUUGCAAUUGGAUGAAAUGCACAAGGAUUAUGAGAAGUUGUUGAAGGAAGCGGAGGAUAAGUUGGUGAAAAUUUAUAGGAUGGCGGAGCGAGGAGUGGAGGAAGAUAAGGAGGUGGAAGGAGUGGAGGUGGAGGAGGAGGUGGAGGUGGAGGUGACUGAGGAGGUUGUGGGAGUGUUGAGAGAGGGGAGCUCGAAAGGGAUCGAAAGAGUGGAUUUGUCGAAUCGGAGACUGAGGUUCUUACCUGAGGGAUUUGGGAGGGUUGUGGGGUUGAAAGUGCUUAAUCUUUCCAAUAAUCAACUUCAGGUCAUUCCUGAUUCAAUAACUGGGUUAGAAAUUCUUGAGGAGCUCAAUCUUGCUUCAAAUCUCUUAGAAGCACUGCCAGAUUCAAUUGGAUUACUGCAAAACUUGAAAAUCCUGGAUGUCUCUAGCAACAAGAUAGAGGUAUUGCCUGGCACCAUUUGUCAUUGCAGGUCGUUGCUGGAAUUGGAUGUGAGCUUCAACUGCCUGACAUACUUGCCGACUAAUAUUGGACAUGAAAUGUCGAAUCUUCAGAGGCUUUCGAUCCAGCUGAACAAGAUUUUUUCUCUUCCCACAUCUAUUGGUGAGAUGAGAUCUCUGCGCCACCUGGAUGCUCAUUUCAAUGAGCUUCGUGGCCUUCCCCUUGCUAUUGGGAAAUUGACAAAUCUUGAGAUCCUCAAUUUGAGUGGUAAUUUCAGUGACCUGAAAGAACUCCCUGAAACUUUUGGUGAUUUGACAAACCUCAAGGAACUUGAUCUCAGCAACAACCAGAUUUCUGCCUUGCCUGAUUCAUUUGGUCGGCUGGAUAAUUUGACCAAGCUCAACCUGGACCAAAAUCCCCUUGUAAUUCCGCCGCCAGAAGUUAUCAAGGAAGGGGUCGAGGCUGUGAAGAUUUUUAUGGCUAAGAGGUGGAUUGACAUACUGGUGGAGGAAGAAAGGAAGAGCACGCUUGAAGUACAAGAACAAGCACAGACUGGAUGGUUGACGCUCAGCACCUCAUGGUUGAAAACUUAUGCUACUGGUGUUUCUGCUACUGUUUCAGGAUUCUUAAGUCCGAGAGUUCCUAGAGAUCCUUAUCUUGAUCAACAGCUAUGACUUCCCAGUCUCUGAUAUUUCAAGAUCCAUUUCUUCUUGACAGCAUGUACAUUUGAUAUGAUUGAUGAGGUGGAUUUCUUCUGCUUGCAGUUUCUUUUGAAGCUGCAACGAUGCCAACUAGAAAGAGCUGCAAGUUCAGCAAAUUUUGCUCUUCUUCCACUCAGUCCUAUUCUGGUUUUGCCAGACAAUAAACAGCUAAUUUCAAGUACUUGUGCUACCUCUGGUCCAGCAACUGUGUCAUUAAAAAACAGCUCGGGCAGAGAGCAGGACUCCACCCUCAUGCAGGUUUAAAACCCUCGAGGCCUAGAUCAUUCCUGUAUAGAUUAGUGAAAAUAGAACAAUAAAAUUAAGUCCAGAAAAUCAAACAAUUAAGGUGUUGGUAAACAAUACGAUUGUAUAGAUUAUUUACUGGAAUACUCUUGAUAACGAAGGUGGUGUCAGCUGUAUCUGAUCCCGAGGUCGUGUGAAAUAAAUUAUAAGUUUGUGAACGUUUGUAUGAACAA